UGUAAGCGUAUACCAAAGUUGUUGCAGUUAAAACGCUCGUAGUCGGAAUUUGGCAGUUCCGGAUGUGUGCACGUCGUGUGCGCACUUCGCGGGGAUUGCUUUUGUGGUCUUGCGUAGGAUGAGGCACUUUUAUUAGUGAACGUCCUCACGCAACCACUUUUUACUGUGAGAAAAUCAGAGUGCCCAAAGCAGGCAUUUGCCGUGAAUGUAUUAGCAUGGAAUAAUAGAAUAGGACUUGGUUCUAUUUUGUUGGUUUGUUGGGACUGAGUAAUGAUUAAGAGGGACAGUUGGGGGCAUUUGUAUUUCGGUGCUAGAGGUGAAAUUCUUAGAUUACCGAAAGACAAACUGCUGCGAAAGCGUCUGCCAAGGAUGUUUUCAUUGA
rnacentral:rRNA from 1 species